rnacentral:piRNA from 1 species
UAAGAUACCUAUCUAAAGCCAGGAUGC